rnacentral:rRNA from 1 species
ACUCCUACGGGAGGCAGCAGUAAGGAAUAUUGGACAAUGCUCGCAAGAGUGAUCCAGCCAUUCCGCGUGCAGGAUGACUGCCCUAUGGGUUGUAAACUGCUUUUAGAUGGGAAGAAAGUGCGACAUUUAAUGUUGUUUUGACGGUACCAUCAGAAUAAGGACCGGCUAACUCCGUGCCAGCAGCCGCGGUAAUACGGAGGGUCCAAGCGUUAUCCGGAAUCACUGGGUUUAAAGGGUGCGUAGGCGGAUAACUAAGUCUAAGGUGAAAGUCU